CCCAAAAGUCGAUUCACCUGCUCCUCGGAUGCUGCCUGACCCGCCAUGCUUUCCCAGCAACACACUGUCGACACUACACUGUUGCCUACAGUUCCCUCAAUAACCUCUAUUCAUUUUGUUCCAGCAAGACUACAAUUUAAAAAAAAAAUUUUCAACAGUUCAGUGUUCACUACGUGAUUGCAGCCUGAGGUGCAUUCAAAAGCCCACACUUGAAAAAGGACUACAAAUCAGAAGUAGGAAUAAUCCAUUCAGACCCUCAAGAUUAGUCCACAACUCAAUAAGGAAAUUAUAUCAAACACAGUGAGAAUUGAUUUUCAGCAGAAAAGAGAGAGAUGGCAAAAGGAACUCAGUGGGCAAUCUGCCAGUUCGACCAAUCAGGAAUUGUGAGGCAUAACACUAUGGAUUGGUUAAAAUGUUCAGGACUUUGAGAAUGCAGCCAGACCUAUUGAGUUUCUCCACCAGCUUCUGUGCCUGCUCUAUCCUUUCACCACUGUGCAGUGCCCCUGCAUUUACACCAUCAGGAUUCACACCAGUGGAGGGGAACCUCACCUGACACCAGAACAGAUCAGAAAAUAAAUCCUUGAGUGACAACAAACAAUAGCGACUUCCUGAUCUGCUUUUUGUUUCCUUUGUUGCUUUCAACCUGGGGGUGCUCUGUCCUCAGAAAUAAGGAAAGUUAUGCAUUGUAUUUAGCUUACUGUGUACAAGACAAAUAGAACAGGAAAGGAAUGGUAUAAUUCUUAGCAAAAAUAUGUGGCAUUUGUUUUGAAGUAUGACUUUCCCCUGAAGUCCAGUGGGGAAGUUAGGUCAAGAAGAUUGAUUGGUUCUCCAAGUCAUGCCCUAUUUUAGUUGGAAUGAAAAAUCUGCUUGAAAGAAAGGAAUUAGUUAUCUCGACAGUAUUAGCAACUGCUUAUUCUUAUCACUGAUUAUUUGUUGGUUUGAGUGAUGUGUAAAGCCUGCUCUUAAGAAUGCAAAUCCAUUUUUUCUCUGUAAUUAAGGUUUUACAUUCUUGACAAAGGUGAGGCACACCAGAGACCCCUGAAAAUAAUUCAGAUGUAACAAAGGCUGAACGGAUAUUACUAAUCUUUCUAUAUUAAUCCCUUUUAUCUCCAGUUGUGCACUUAAAUUUAAAGUUAAGGAUCAGAGACUUGCCUCUUUAAUAGGUUUGCACUUUGAUAUGGUCCCCAUUGAUGCAUUCAUCUGUUCUAUGUCCUAAAGCAGGAUUAUA